rnacentral:miRNA from 10 species
UUUAAUAUAGAGUUUCUAUACGGUUGGGCAAAAGUAAUUGCGGUUUUUGCUAUUGGGCAUUUAAUGGCAAAAAUCACAAUCACAUUUGCUCUAAUGUAAUUAUUAUUUAAAAUU